AAAUUAAAACCAGCACAAGGAAACACACUAAGAAAACAGAGUAAUUGUUUCUCCUGCAACAUGAUCCCUUUGAGCUAGAUGAACAGAAGUCUCUCCACAUGCUCAGUUCUGAGAUAUAAGUGUGUUUGAAAGCCGUACUUCACCUAGCUUCUUGGGAACACAAAGCUUUUUUUCAGUUUGGAAAAUACUCAACAUACAUAUAUAUGGGUUGAUACUAGCUCCAACUCAGAUUUACAGUGAAAGCUAAAGGUACUUCAAACUUUCGCUAGGAAACAGACUUAGAAAUCAGA